AUAGCAACAACACACCCUUGUUAUGGUUUAUUUUGUCAUAGCAGCUUCUUCUAAGAAUUCAGUGUAUUUCUCCAUAGCAAGGAUCUCUUCAUUCCUUUAGUAAGCUGACAUUCAUAACAUUUUUAUAUUUACCUGUCAAAUGACUACUUUUGCGUUGAAUUCAAACUAAGAAAGAUUCUUUGAUAAAUACAUAUAUUGAAUGUCACACAAUAGUAUUCCUAAAUCCAGUUUGGAAUAGUGGCCAAGCUGUCCUUUUCCUAUUCUUAAGGUGUGCAGAGGACUGAGGAGGUCGGGAGAAUCUGGAGACUCCAGUGACAUCAGAGCUACUUUUCAUCGACCUUCUCAACUUCCUCUCCCACACAGCAGAGACUCAGCCGUGGAGACAGAUGGGGAGAAAAGAACAAGGAUUUAAGAGAUCCUUGUAGAAAGCCAG
rnacentral:lncRNA from 1 species